CUCAUUUUCUCUUCCUGCGGUCAGGUGAGGAGAGUUCUUCGCCUCGCGCCAGGAUUCUGAGGCCUCCCCAGCCAUGUGGAACUGGCAAGGAUUGUGAUGACGUUUUUGCUAUUCCAGUGCAGAAAGCAUUUCAUGUAAAACCUGGGGUUGAUGACAUGAGCAAUAUCCGGAGAGAGAGAGAGAGAUUCCUGUAGAAUACAAGACAAGACUAUCACAAUGAGCUGAAAUGUUGGGUCUGUGAAAGUAAUGAGAAGCACAGUGGAAAUAAGUUUCUGAAGGAUGGAAGAGGCUGGAGGCUGGCUAGUGGGAGAAGGUUCCCAGACACGUGAGAGACCCAGCAACAGGGUACUAUUGAGAACCAACUAACUUGGAGCCGUGUAUGAGCCACUGGGAAUAGACUAAAUGAGAUAAUCAACGUCUUGAUCUCAUAUUCUUUCAUUCUACAGAAGGAAGCAGGCAACAGGCUUUGGUAUCAGGAUGAAGCUGGC
rnacentral:lncRNA from 1 species